rnacentral:rRNA from 1 species
UCCUGGAAACGGGUGGUGAUGCCGGAUGCUCCAGUUGGAUGCAUGUCCUUCUGGGAAAGAUUAUAUCGGUAUGGGAUGGGGUCGCGUCCUAUCAGGUAGUCGGCGGGGUAACGGCCCACCGAGCCUACGACGGGUAGCCGGCCUGAGAGGGCGACCGGCCACAUUGGGACUGAGAUACGGCCCAGACUCCUACGGGAGGCAGCAGUGGGGAAUAUUGCACAAUGGGCGCAAGCCUGAUGCAGCGACGCCGCGUGCGGGAUGACGGCCUUCGGGUUGUAAACCGCUUUUGAUCGGGAGCAAGCCUUCGGGUGAGUGUACCUUUCGAAUAAGCACCGGCUAACUACGUGCCAGCAGCCGCGGUAAUACGUAGGGUGCAAGCGUUAUCCGGAAUUAUUGGGCGUAAAGGGCUCGUAGGCGGUUCGUCGCGUCCGGUGUGAAAGUCCAUCGCUUAACGGUGGAUCCGCGCCGGGUACGGGCGGGCUUGAGUGCGGUAGGGGAGACUGGAAUUCCCGGUGUAACGGUGGAAUGUGUAGAUAUCGGGAAGAACACC